rnacentral:lncRNA from 1 species
CUAAAGGGAGCGAUUACUGGGGGCUGCUUACAGUUUAGACAGGCAGGCAUGGCAUGAGGCAGAGAGAGAAACCCGGCCUGGCUUGGGCUUUCGGAACCUCCUCUAACAAGUGCCCACCUCCCUAUCCUUCCUGCAUGGCCCACCUCUGGGCAAUACUUAUUCAGACCACACCUCCUGGGGCAAUACUUACUCAGACCACACCUCCUGGGGGAAUACUUACUCAGACCACACCUCCUGGGGCAAUACUUACUCAGACCACACCUCCUGGGGCAAUACUUAUUCAGACCACACCAUCUGAGCACACCUUUAACAGGUGCCAGAGCACUGUUCUUCCACUUGACUUGUGUCAGGCCUUGGCUUAUUACCUAGGAAAGUAAAAACCUGAACAUGGAGAAUCUUCCCUCCAUUACUCCUGGAGAUAAUACUGUGCGGCUGAGCCCACCACGCUGGGAAGUUCGGAACUUUUUCCUGCACAACGGAUGUCCUUUCA